CCUACGGUGGACUGCAGUCGAGAAUCAUUCACAAUGGGGGAAACCCUGAUGGUGCGACGCCGCGUGGGGGAAUGAAGGUCUUCGGAUUGUAAACCCCUGUCAUGUGGGAGCAAAUUAAAAAGAUAGUACCACAAGAGGAAGAGACGGCUAACUCUGUGCCAGCAGCCGCGGUAAUACAGAGGUCUUAAGCGUUGUUCGGAAUCACUGGGCGUAAAGCGUGCGUAGGCUGUUUCGUAAGUCGUGUGUGAAAGGCGCGGGCUCAACCCGCGGACGGCACAUGAUACUGCGAGAUUAGAGUAAUGGAGAGGGAGCCGGAAUUCUCGGUGUAGCAGUGAAAUGCGUAGAUAUCAAGAGGAACACUCAUGGCGAAGGCAGGUUCCUAAACAUUAACUGACGCUGAGGCACGAAGGCCAGGGGAGCGAAAGGGAUUAGAUACCCGUGUAGUC
rnacentral:rRNA from 1 species